UAACACUGAUUCACAUACGGUCACUGAAGUUAAGCAAUGUCAAGCCUGGUCAGUACCUAGAUGGGUGACCGCUUGGGAAUACCAGGUGUUGUAU